rnacentral:lncRNA from 11 species
UGACGAUGUGCUGCUGGAAGUAGCUCAAUGUCAUCUGAUCUCAGAGACAAGCCACAGCUGAGGAAUUUCCUGGACAUCUGGGGCUGGGCGAUGCCCUAAACAAAGGUGUCAAUGGAGGCUCAUUGUGGGCACAUGUAGAUCAGCAGGCGGUUUCCACUCCCA